GGCAGAACCUAUUGUUCAGGGGCUUCCUGGUUGGGCCAUUGCAUUGUUAGUGCUAGCGUGCAUCAUCAUCCUGCUUCUCCUCAUCAUCAUGCUACUGUUAUGCUGUUGGUGCUGUAGGAGAAAAGAAAAAAAGGAAGAAACACAAACCGUAACGCCGUAUGAGAGAACGUCUUUCAAAGAACAUCUCGCCAAUCCCACAUAUAUGUCAAACACACCUGAGAAGAGCCCCAACUACCGGAACAUGGGAGAACCGGAAGCACAACAUGGCAACCAAUCCGGGAUCUACAUGAACCAUCAGAGAUGAAAACCACAACAGCACUGUAAGAGAGAGGCAUGGAGUAACUGAUGCCAUGAAGAGUCAGGAUGGAAAAGCGGUUUCUCUCAUAGAUGCUGGGUUCUUCAGCAAGUUUCUAAACAUGUGGCAUCAUUACCAUCUCUAAUAGAAGUAUUAUACUCAACUGAAUAGAAAACUAUUUAUUUCUGUACUAUUUAUGAAGCACAGAUAUGGGAUUUGGGUCUGUGAACUUUUGCAUCUCUUACUCUAUUUCAGUGGAACAUCAUAAGACCGGGGCUAGUUGUCACACUUAAUACUCCACUAAAUAUUGACCAGGUUAGGUUUCAACUGUCCUACAGUCAUACAAUCAAUCAAGUGUGCAUGGUGAUUAGUGGCGUGUUUGUGAAAUUUAACCAGUAAAACACAUUUAACACAAAAUCGUUCAUAAAACUGUGACAAAGGUUAAACAAUCAAUACAUGCUAAAUAUGAAAACAAAGUUUGCAAUUGCAAUUAAUAAACUGUACCAACUAAAUUACAUGUCAAUACUUCCCUGUGUGACAUCUUGCCCCGGUGGCUUUUACAGUAUAUCUUAGGCUACAGAAGGAGAGUAGAUCUCUUGAAUUUAAAGAUUUUAUGUUUGAUACUUUAUGUGGGGUUUUGGUAUCUCCAGAUUACAAGUUUAUCAAUUCAUAAAUGUCUUUUCAUUUGAAAUUCGAGUUAUCUGUAUGGUCAUAUACACUUAUUUACACUUUCUGUGGGAAGAACUGUUGUCUUCAAUGCACAAUACUUCAGCAAAACAAUAUAUUAUCAAUUACAUUAUAAAUAAAGUUCAUACAAUACAUGAUGAAAUUAUGUCUUAUUUAUUCGUUAAUUUCAUCUGAAUAUCAGCAUUCAUGAAAUGUAGUCCGGCGAAACAGUUUUGAGGUUAAUUAAUCUAAUUUUGUGUUUCUGGGAAAGUAGUGAUCUGUGAUGUUGAAUAUCAAUACUUUUUUGUCUAUUUGACACA